rnacentral:lncRNA from 10 species
CUGAAGACACCUGGUAGAGAGGGCAGGGCCAUCCAGUGGGAAAAGCAACAGGCCACAAUCCCACAUCAAGACACCAUCACAUCUAUAAUCCUAGCACUUUGGGCAGAUCACCUGAGAGCUGAGUGCAGAGCAUUCAGAAACCAAGACAGAAAGUCAACGCCAUCUCCUGGAAAAAAAGGAAGGGUGGAAAACGUUGAAGCUAAGUGGCAUUAGAGUUAACUUAAACCAUGCACUGGUUGGCAUUCCUGGUUCUCCCCCUUCCUCUCUGGCCAUGCCAUCCCAUCCCAACUGCCGUGCAUCCUCCUCUAUCUUAUCAUUAAAUGCUGGCACUCCUCAAGGUCAAGCUCUCACUCCUCCGAUCUUGACUCUCUCCAUAGGCUCUCUGAUUCAUACCAGGACUGUAUCGCAUCACUCAGUGAUGACCAAAACAAAUGAAUAUGACCUUUUAACAUCCACUUUUCUCCAGAGUGAGCUCAAACUUCCUUCUUCCCUUCUGCAGCUCAUGAAGAUUCCUGUCUUUUAGGAAAGUGACUAGCACCCAGACUGAAAAGGCAUACAGAACAAGGGGUUCUGAAAGCAGAUUGACAAUAUUCCAUGAAAAUGCUGUCUACGGAACCUGCCACUCAGACAUUUCAGGGAUAGUGG